AGAGUUUGAUCCUGGCUCAGAUUGAACGCUGGCGGCAUGCUUUACACAUGCAAGUCGGACGGCAGCACAGAGAAGCUUGCUUCUUGGGUGGCGAGUGGCGAACGGGUGAGUAGUAUAUCGGAACGUACCGAGUAAUGGGGGAAAACUAAUCGAAAGAUUAGCUAAUACCGCAUAUUCUCUGAGGAGGAAAGCAGGGGACCUUCGGGCCUUGCGUUAUUCGAGCGGCCGAUAUCUGAUUAGCUAGUUGGUGGGGUAAAGGCCUACCAAGGCGACGAUCAGUAGCGGGUCUGAGAGGAUGAUCCGCCACACUGGGACUGAGACACGGCCCAGACUCCUACGGGAGGCAGCAGUGGGGAAUUUUGGACAAUGGGCGCAAGCCUGAUCCAGCCAUGCCGCGUGUCUGAAGAAGGCCUUCGGGUUGUAAAGGACUUUUGUCAGGGAAGAAAAGGCUGUUGCUAAUAUCGACAGCUGAUGACGGUACCUGAAGAAUAAGCACCGGCUAACUACGUGCCAGCAGCCGCGGU
rnacentral:rRNA from 1 species